rnacentral:rRNA from 1 species
GUUAUAGGGUCAAGCGAACAAGUGCAUGUGGUGGAUGCCUUGGCGAUCACAGGCGAUGAAGGACGCGGUAGCCUGCGAAAAGCUACGGGGAGCUGGCAAACGAGCUUUGAUCCGU